GGAUUAGAUACCCUGGUAGUCCACGCCGUAAACGAUGUCUACUAGUUGUCGGUUGUCUUGUACGACGGGUAACGCAGCUAACGCGAUAAGUAGACCGCCUGGGGAGUACGGCCGCAAGGCUAAAACUCAAAGGAAUUGACGGGGACCCGCACAAGCGGUGGAGCAUGUGGUUCAAUUCGAUGCAACGCGCAGAACCUUACCCAGGCUUGACAUCUACGGAAUCUCUGUGAAAGCGGAGAGUGCUACCGCAAGGUAGAGCCGUAAGACAGGUGCUGCAUGGCUGUCGUCAGCUCGUGCCG
rnacentral:rRNA from 1 species